rnacentral:misc_RNA from 1 species
AAAGUCGUAACAAGGUUUCCGUAGGUGAACCUGCGGAAGGAUCAUUACCAAUCCAAACUUACAAACAACUGUGAACUGGCUGAAAGUACUUGGGUGAGAAUAAGAAAGAUGUUAGUGAUAACAACUUUAAAAUCUUGCCCAACAGUAUUAACAACCUUGAACUUGAAUUUGGUUAUGUUAAAUUGCUAAUCUGUUGCUCUUGCAAUGGGUUUGUUAUAUGGAUUAAACUAAAAGUUUACAACUUUUAGCGGUGGAUCUCUUGGCUCAU